AUGGCUUCUCAGUCUUUUGGCUAAGAUCAAGUGUAGUAUCUGUUCUUAUCAAUUUAACACUCUUUUUUAUUGAGAUGAUCAUAUGGUUUUUGUCCUUGGAUCUAUUGAUAUAAUGUAUUACACUGAUUGAUUUGUGUAUGUUAAUCCAUCCCUCCAUUCCUAGGAUGAAUCCCAC
rnacentral:snRNA from 1 species